AAUUAACUUACUGUUACAUCUAUAAAURAUGGGUUAAGUGAUCGCACGUCUACCUGGUGGCAUUUUUAGUGUGUCAAAACCUACCGAUACCAMUAGACGAUGCAAAUCAAGAGUGUUUUUUAUAGGAACAAAUUCUAUGAAACUGCCCAAAGAUGCACGUUAACGUUUUUACAGCACUUUUCCUGGUAAUUUGUCUCACGGCAAACUACAUAGGUAGCAGCAAUGGAAAAUUAGAACAUAACAAAUCUAGUUCUAAAUCGAUGAAGAAAACAAUCACUAAAAUCUGUGACCCCCCUGCUAACACAACAUGGUGUCUAAAUGGCGGUACAUGUAUACAAGAAAUAGAAGGAACAAAACAGACAAUCGACUGCGUAUGUCCAACUGCAUGGACUGGGAAAAGAUGUGAAGUACCGAUCGCCCGAAAAAAUGGGGGGAAAAUCGAUCGACACAGGAAUUGAAAAAGAAAAAAAAAAGAAAGUUAGACGAGUUUCUGAUAAUAUAGAAGGAGUUUCUGCAUUUUAGACGAGUUUCUCUAUUUUAGAUUAAUUGGUGUCAAAACAUAACAAAAACAAAAAAACAAGUUACUGCGAAUAAAAAACGAGUUGCUGCAAUCGCAAGUUGGAAGAGUUGCUGGAUGAUAAACUAUAAGCAUUUCGACAUGGCGUAGUUUGCCGCGCGAUUGGAGCUUAAUUUUAAUUUUCCGGGACGAUUCCUCAACUAAAACAACGAAUUCUAAAAUCGUUUUAAAGUAUUUUGUUUUUGUAWAGAAACUUCAUGCUGAUACCUAAACUUAAUAGUUUUAAAGAUUUAAAUUUUAGCAUGUUUGUCUUUUCUCUGCACAAAACACAAGUAACUCUCCCCCUUGGGUGGCACUUAAAAAAACGUUUUUGUUUUUUUUUUGUUUUGUUUUUUUUUUUUUUUGCCUGGCAGAUUUUAAUUUUCGCAGAAUUCACAUCGUGGAAUCGACUAUCGUGGGGGAAAAAAGAAAGAAAGAAAGAAAAGAAAAGAAAAGAAAAAAGAACAAUACUUACCUUGAGUACAUAUGGUAAAACCAGGAGUAAAACAUUAGGUCACCCAUCAGAGUACUAACCUCCCUCAACCGGCUUGACUAUUCUAACGCCCAAGUUUUUACCCACUCGGCCACGAUUCAAUGAAAUUAGCAUAACAAUAGCCGAGAAAACAAUGCACCGAAUAGACUAGACUUUUUAACAUCAGUUUUUCUCAGAUUCCGUGCGUUGCAGAGUGCAAGGGACUAGCUGUUUAUGGUCUGGGGGCCGGCUGGUCUCUCCCCUGAUGCUYCGGCUAGAACAUUUUCUUGCGUAAU